rnacentral:rRNA from 1 species
GACGAACGCUGGCGGCGCGCCUAAUACAUGCAAGUCGAGCGAGAAGACGUAGCAAUACGUUUGUAAAGCGGCGAACGGGUGAGGAAUACAUGGGUAACCUACCCUAGAGUGGGGAAUAACUAGCCGAAAGGUUAGCUAAUACCGCGUACGCUCCUUGGACUUCGGUUCAGGGAGGAAAGCGAUACCGAGGGUAUCGCGCUCUUGGAUGGGCUCAUGUCCUAUCAGCUUGUUGGUGAGGAACGGCUCACCAAGGCUUCGACGGGUAGCUGGUCUGAGAGGACGAUCAGCCACACUGGCACUGCGACACGGGCCAGACUCCUACGGGAGGCAGCAGUAAGGAAUAUUGCGCAAUGGGCGAAAGCCUGACGCAGCGACGCCGCGUGGGGGAGUGAAGGUC